rnacentral:rRNA from 1 species
AUGGAUGGUAAUUGGGAUAUGAAUGAAAUCAUGUAUUCUUUUGAGAAGGAAGGGGGUAAUGAUAGACCAAACCACUUCCUGCAAAGUUUCAGAGAUGUUGUAGCUGAAUGUAAUCUGUCGGACCAUGGUUUCAUUGGGGAUAAAUUCACAUGGCACCGAGAUCUUACCAGAGAAUGCUUAGAUCAUUCACUUGUAAAUGAGGGAUGGAAUAAAAUGUUUCCAGGAGCUGUCUUGGAUCAUAUUGACUAUUAUAAGUCAGAUCAAAGGCUGAUCACGAAACUGCAUGAUAAAAUUACUCAAGAAGCAGCGGGCCAAGCGGUGCUUCACUUCGAGGCACGUUGGCUCAAGGAGGAGAAAGUUUGUGAUGUAGUCGAACAAUCCUGGCAGUCUAUGAAAGGGAAUAUGGGACCUGCGGAAAAGCUUGCUUUGGUACAUAAACAACUGCAUGUAUGA